UCAAACCGGCGUGAGCCAGGUUGGUUUCUAUCCUCAAUUAAUUAGAAUAUUUUAGUACGAAAGGAUUAAAUAUUCAAAAUAAUUUUUAUAUAUUUAUGAAUAAAAUUAAU
rnacentral:rRNA from 1 species